UGUUCUGAAAUUGGACUGAGGUUGAAAC
rnacentral:piRNA from 1 species